CUGAACUUAGUUGAAGUUCGCCAUACCGAAAAAGAGUUUGGUUGAUCUGAAGUUGAAUUCCCUUAACUUCAAUUCGACCAAGUCGGGUUGAAAACCGCAAUAGGGGCAUAAAUAUUAAAAGUAGAAAACUCCUUUCCAAAACAAUAAUAUGUACUAACAGAAAUUUGGUGAACAUCAUGUGUGUGCUAAAAAUUACGAUGAUAUGGAGCGCUGCCUUGUGAUAAUAAGGAAAUUCGCUGAAAUGCCUUCUUUCCGGCUACGUGUUGCUGUGGCUGAGUGAUUCAAGAGGGAUUUUAAAGACAAAAUUUAACACAAAUUAACAUAACAUUUUUAUAACAUAUUUAAUAAAUACUUUAAAUAUUUUUAUUUGAUAUAUAUACUCUAAAUGUCUUUAAUCGUAAUAAAUCACAGUUAUUGAACAUUAAGCGCCAAUCGAUGUUCAAUAUUUUUGAUCAAUCGGUCCUUUGUUAAUACAAAUAAACUUGAUGGUCUUCCUACUCGUGAACACGCUACGUAUAAUUGCCCAUGGGAGAAACAUGGAUUUUCCAAGUCUAAUCCGCAAAUAGACAUUGUUUGGCCUUGGGAUUUAUUUAUAGUCAUCGCGAAAGCUAAACGAAUGGAAAACUGUAGUCUUUUAAAUAGUAGAAUCGGAUGGUAUCAUCGGAAUUUGUGUUUUUCAUUUGGGAAGUCGAUUUUCAGCAGAAAUUAGAUUCAUUGCUCUAAUAAACAUUUGUUUGUUUACAUUUUUUCCUUUUUGUAGUGUCUAAAUCAGCUGUGAUAAUUUAAUAGAUUUCCAUUGUAUUUGCACCGUUUUUACACAAUCUAUUUUUUAAUAUAAAUACACAAAUUUCAAUAAAAAUUAAAUUUAAUUGAGAAUUUCCACCUAUGUGUUCCAGCACCUGAGCAAAUAAACCAGCUGUAGAAUUUCAGUUAAACGAAAAGGUCUCAGAUUGUUGUAAUUGGUGCUUUUGUUGUGGGUUGUUUUCCAAUUGGAGAAGUAAUACCCAACUGUUCGCAUAGGGUUGCAAAGUCUUUAUUGUUUUUUGUUUGUUUUUUCAAUGAUAAGUGAGCAAUAAAAAAAUAAUUGUAAAAUAGUACAGUCAAAACCAGUAUUUUUAUAAAUCAGCUAAAAUAUAUUGCUUUUUUAACUUAUACCAUGUUCAGACCGACACUUAAUCACACGAUUUCGGCUGUUGAAUGGAUUAUCCCACUAAUCUUAAAAAUUUAUCAAGAUUUCGCCAUACAAAGAUGACAGUUCCAAAUCACUUCAUUGAAAUGAUUUGAAACUGAUCCACGCUAAAUCUCUCUGUGCGACUCUGAUUUUCCGCAAUCUACUUGUCAGCUCUGGAAAUCUGUUACAUUAUCACAGCUGAUUUAGACACUACAAAGGGGAAAAAAUGUAAACAAACAAAUUUUUUUAAAGCAAUGAAUCUAAUUUCAUCUGAAAAUCGACUUAACAAAUGAAAAAAUGCAUCCACUAUUUCUAUUAUAUGGAAAAUAUUUAAAAAAGCCGUAUUUUUAUUUCAAAAUACUAUAUUACAAUCUUUUCUUUUGAUAAAUAUUAAGCGAUGUUAAUUCUUUAAUGACUAUAACAGCUGUUUUUUAAUCUUUCUAACGGCAGUGAGAACACUGUUGGGUUAUGAAAUGCUUAAAUAUAAUCUAAUCUUUUAAAUUUUCGGUCUGAACAUGGUAUUACAUUGUUUUGCGUUUAAUUUAAGUUUACAUUCAUAAUUUGUAAUUUAAUUAAACUUAUUUGUGCUGGUAACCCUUCUCUUUAUGUAUAAUAUGAUAUAAAUAAAUGCAUACAUGCAUCUCCUAAAUAGAAAUAGUUAUUCCUGCAUACACACCACCGGUGGUCAUCGAAUGGCAUCCACAUAGGGUAUUGUAGUAAACUACCUGCCGCAUACAACACUGCGCUGUUGGCAUUUAAUUUUGCGUCAAAAAAAACCUAAAUUUCGAGCUUCUAAACCAGAAUACCCCUUUAAUCCAAGAAUCACACAGACGACGAGGGGAAAAUUCAACAUGAAGAUGUCCGACUAAAAUCAGCAGCUGAACGAAUAAACAUAGAAAGGACCAAAUGGAAACAACGACAACAAACAAACAUCGUAAACCGAGACAGUAUAACGAGUGAGAUUCAGUUGUAAUAAACUACGUGCCUCCUCCAAAGUGGACAUCUCAAAGCUUGAUUCGGCAUACAAAGAUCCAUAUUUGGUAACGAAGGUAUUACCCAACGAUCGCUACGUGGUUGAAAAUAUACCAGAUAUACCGAAUCGGCGGAAGCGCUACGCAGGAUUAUUUUUGAACGACAAUAUGAAGCCAUGGCGCGCUUUACGUAUGACGGAUGACGAAUACGACACCAAAUGUUCACCUAAAAGCAUCGACUACAUCGCUAAUGGAGAAUCGUCCCGGAGAGACGAUCUAUCAGGAGUGGCCGAGCUGAUGGCAACCCAGCUGCUGAUAUGCCGUGUUGCAAGGCAGACAGCAAAUAGGAGAGUUGGUAGAAGGCAUAAGCGAGUGUCGCUACGUAUUUCAAUUUCUUUAUAGUUCUUGUAUAUUUUUAUAUUCGUGAUUUUUUUCAAUAUAUUUAAUCGACACUUACAAUUGUUUUUAUUAACAAUCCUACCUUUCAAGUUGGUUCAAACUGGACA